rnacentral:rRNA from 1 species
GACGAACGCUGGCGGCGUGCUUAACACAUGCAAGUCGAACGGAAAGGCCCUGCUUUUGUGGGGUGCUCGAGUGGCGAACUGGUGAGUAACCCGUGAGUAACCUGCCCUUGACUUUGGGGUAACUUCAGACAACUGGGGCUAAUACCGGAUAGGAUCUCCUGCUGCAUGGUGGGGGUUGGAAAGUUUCGGCGGUUGGGGGUGGACUCGCGGCUUAUCAGAUUGUUGGUGGGGUAGUGGCUUACCAAGGCUUUGCCAGGUAGCCGGGCUGAGAGGAUGACCGGCCACGUCGGGCUGGGGCUGCGGCACAGCCUAGAACCGGAGGCAGGAGUGCAGAAGAGAGCACAAGAGGAUGAAGCCUGAUGCGGCCACGCAGUGCGCGGGAAGACGGCAUGCGGGUAGUGAUGCGAUGUCGUUUGUGCCGAAGCGUGAGUGACGGUAAUGGGUAAAGAAGCACCGGCUAACUACGUG